ensembl:lncRNA
CAGAGAACAGACAACUGGAGAAAAAAGAUAGACGUGAAGAUGUAAAAUGCAACUGAAGAAGACCGUGUUGAAUUGUCAUAGCCAUUGGAGGCAGCGUUUGCAGCAUCUAUCCUGAACUGAUCUCAGCUUAAAGUUGACCUUAUAGAGAGGCCCGUACAUUAGUUCUACCUACUUGAAUUCAAUCAACAUUUCCUAAGUGAGUACCAUGUGUUGGACAUAAGUACAAUUCAACAAAAAUGAGGUAUUCUUGUCUUUGAGGAGCUUCUAGCCUAUCAAAGGCAAUGAUCAAGCCCCGGGUGUGGAGUGGAGGUAAGUGUCUGGGUCCUUGGAGAAUGCUAAGAGUCUGG